rnacentral:rRNA from 1 species
GGGGAAUUUUGGACAAUGGGCGCAAGCCUGAUCCAGCAAUGCCGCGUGCAGGAUGAAGGCCUUCGGGUUGUAAACUGCUUUUGUACGGAACGAAAAGCCUCUCUCUAAUACAGGGGGGUGAUGACGGUACCGUAAGAAUAAGCACCGGCUAACUACGUGCCAGCAGCCGCGGUAAUACGUAGGGUGCAAGCGUUGUCCGGAUUUACUGGGCGUAAAGGGCACGCAGGCGGUUUUUUAAGUCAGAUGUGAAAGGUACCGGCUCAACCGGUGACAUGCAUUUGAAACUGAAAGACUUGAGUAUUGGAGAGGGAAGUGGAAUUCCUAGUGUAGCGGUGAAAUGCGUAGAUAUUAGGAGGAACACCGAUGGCGAAGGCAAUCCCCUGUGCCUGCACUGACGCUCAUGCACGAAAGCGUGGGGAGCAAACA